CCUACGGGCGGCAGCAGUGGGGAAUAUUGGGCAAUGGGCGCAAGCCUGACCCAGCGACGCCGCGUGAGGGAAGACGGUCUUCGGAUUGUAAACCUCUUUCAGCAGGGAAGACAAAAGGACGGUACCUGCAGAAGAAGCCACGGCUAACUACGUGCCAGCAGCCGCGGUAAUACGUAGGUGGCAAGCGUUAUCCGGAAUUACUGGGUGUAAAGGGUGCGCAGGCGGAAUGUCAAGUCAGCGGUAAAAUUUCGGGGCUCAACCCCGUCGUGCCGUUGAAACUGGCGUUCUUGAGUGAGCGAGAGGUAUGCGGAAUGCGUGGUGUAGCGGUGAAAUGCAUAGAUAUCACGCAGAACUCCGAUUGCGAAGGCAGCAUACCGGCGCUCAACUGACGCUCAUGCACGAAAGCGUGGGUAUCGAACAGGAUUAGAUACCCCUGUAGUC
rnacentral:rRNA from 1 species